rfam:Triticum aestivum genome assembly, contig: Triticum_aestivum_CS42_TGACv1_scaffold_158059_2DL
UAACUACUCCCUCCGUCCGAAAAUACUUGUCCUUGAAAUAGUUGUAUCUGGACUUAUUUUAGUUAUAGAUACAUCCAUUUUAUCCAUUUCGACGACAAGUAUUUUCGCACGGAGGGAGUAUCAU